rnacentral:rRNA from 1 species
UUUUUUAAUCUAUAUAUUAUAUAUAAAGAUAUAUUUUAUUAUACAGUCUUGACCAAAAUUUGUGCCAGCAGUCGCGGCAAUACAAUAAAGACUAGCGUUAUUCAUCUUUAUUGGGUUUAAAAGUGCCUAGAUGGUAUAUUAAGCUUUAAGAGGAAUUUUUUUUUUAUUAAGUACUUAUAUACUAGAGUUUUAAAGAAAAAGUAUGAAUUAAAAGUGAAAAGAUGAAAUUUAUUAAUACUUUUAAGACAGGUAGUCAUGAAAAUAUACUUUUAUUAAUAACUGACAUUAAGGAACAAAGCCUUGAGUAGCGAAUAGGAUUAGAUACCCUAGUAGUUCAAGGAGACACUAAUGAAUGCCAUAAAUUAAUAUAAUAUAGAAAAAUAUUUAAUUUAUAAAUGAAAAUGAAAGCAUUUUACCUCAAGAGUAAUAUGGCAACAUAGAAACUGAAAUCAUUAGACCGUGUCUGAAACCAGUAGUGGAGUAUGUUAUUUAAUUCGAUAACCCUCGAUAAAUUUUACCACAAUUUGAAUAAAUAUACAAGAGUUGCAUGGCUGUCUUCAGUUAAUAUCGUGAGAUCAGAUUAGUUUCUAUUUAUUAACGUAUAACCUUUAUUUUAUUUAUUAUUAAUAAAAUAUUUAUUUUUUAUAUGAAAAAAUAAUAUUAAAAAGGGAU